UUUCCGUAGGUGAACCUGCGGAAGGAUCAUUGUCGAGACCCUCGCGAGAUCGGUGAACCCGUGAACAGUCGGCGGGUGUGCCCGACGGCAUGCCGCGCCCCGCCGCCCGUCCUCUUCUGAGGGCGGCGGCUGGACGACAAGUCCUUCGUUCGGCGCCGUUCUGCGCCAAGGAAGACGCUGUGUUUAACGCGGAGGGUGACAUCAUGCCCGGUCUGUGUUGGUCCGCUCGCAGCGCGGGUAUGAGUCGCCUCCCGUGCUCGUUGAAUUCGGAAGACUCUCGGCAACGGAUAUCUCGGCUCUC
rnacentral:misc_RNA from 1 species